CCUACGGGGGGCUGCAGUUAGGAAUCUUGGGCAAUGGGCGCAAGCCUGACCCAGCCAUGCCGCGUGUGUGAAGAAGGCCUUCGGGUUGUAAAGCACUUUCAGUGGUGAAGAAAAGCCUGGAGCUAAUACCUCCGGGUCUUGACGUUAGCCACAGAAGAAGCACCGGCUAACUCCGUGCCAGCAGCCGCGGUAAUACGGAGGGUGCGAACGUUAAUCGGAAUUACUGGGCGUAAAGCGCGCGUAGGCGGUUCGACAAGUGGGAUGUGAAAGCCCUGGGCUCAACCUGGGAACUGCAUUCCAAACUAUCGGGCUAGAGUGUGGUAGAGGGAGGUAGAAUUUCCUGUGUAGCGGUGAAAUGCGUAGAUAUAGGAAGGAAUACCAGUGGCGAAGGCGGCCUCCUGGACCAACACUGACGCUGAGGUGCGAAAGCGUGGGGAGC
rnacentral:rRNA from 1 species